CCAUGCCGCGUGGGGGAUGAAGGUCCUCUGGAUUGUAAACUUCUUUUAUCUGGGACGAAAAACUUCUUUUUUAAGAGGCCUGCCCGUACCAGAUGAAUAAGAAACCGCUAACUCCGUGCCAGCAGCCGCGGGAAUACGGAGGGUGCAAGCGUUAUCCCGAUUCACUGGGGUUAAAGGGUGCGUAGGUGGGUAUGUAAGUCAGUGGUGAAAUCCCCGAGCUUAACUUGGGAACUGCCAUUGAUACUAUAUAUCUUGAAUACCGUAGAGGUAAGCGGAAUAUGUCAUGUAGCGGUGAAAUGCUUAGAUAUGACAUGGAACACCAAUUGCGAAGGCAGCUUACUAUGCGGUGAUUGACACUGAGGCACGAAAGCGUGGGUAGCAAACA
rnacentral:rRNA from 1 species